UACGUAGGGUGCAAGCGUUAAUCGGAAUUACUGGGCGUAAAGCGUGCGCAGGCGGUUUUGUAAGACUGUCGUGAAAUCCCCGGGCUCAACCUGGGAAUGGCGAUGGUGACUGCAAGGCUAGAGUUUGGCAGAGGGGGGUAGAAUUCCACGUGUAGCAGUGAAAUGCGUAGAUAUGUGGAGGAACACCGAUGGCGAAGGCAGCCCCCAGGGUCAAAACUGACGCUCAUGCACGAAAGCGUGGGGAGCAAACAGG
rnacentral:rRNA from 1 species